rnacentral:rRNA from 1 species
ACUCCUACGGGAGGCAGCAGUGGGGAAUUUUGGACAAUGGGCGCAAGCCUGAUCCAGCAAUGCCGCGUGAGUGAAGAAGGCCUUCGGGUUGUAAAGCUCUUUUGUCAGGGAAGAAACGGUAGAGGCUAAUAUCCUUUGCUAAUGACGGUACCUGAAGAAUAAGCACCGGCUAACUACGUGCCAGCAGCCGCGGUAAUACGUAGGGUGCAAGCGUUAAUCGGAAUUACUGGGCGUAAAGCGUGCGCAGGCGGUUUUGUAAGUCUGACGUGAAAUCCCC